UGCCAGCUUGCUGGUGGAUUAGUGGCGAACGGGUGAGUAACACGUGAGUAACCUGCCCUUAACUCUGGGAUAAGCCUGGGAAACUGGGUCUAAUACCGGAUAUGACUCCUCAUCGCAUGGUGGGGGGUGGAAAGCUUUAUUGUGGUUUUGGAUGGACUCGCGGCCUAUCAGCUUGUUGGUGAGGUAAUGGCUCACCAAGGCGACGACGGGUAGCCGGCCUGAGAGGGUGACCGGCCACACUGGGACUGAGACACGGCCCAGACUCCUACGGGAGGCAGCAGUGGGGAAUAUUGCACAAUGGGCGAAAGCCUGAUGCAGCGACGCCGCGUGAGGGAUGACGGCCUUCGGGUUGUAAACCUCUUUCAGUAGGGAAGAAGCGAAAGUGACGGUACCUGCAGAAGAAGCGCCGGCUAACUACGUGCCAGCAGCCGCGGUAAUACGUAGGGCGCAAGCGUUAUCCGGAAUUAUUGGGCGUAAAGAGCUCGUAGGCGGUUUGUCGCGUCUGCCGUGAAAGUCCGGGGCUCAACUCCGGAUCUGCGGUGGGUACGGGCAGACUAGAGUGAUGUAGGGGAGACUGGAAUUCCUGGUGUAGCGGUGAAAUGCGCAGAUAUCAGGAGGAACACCGAUGGCGAAGGCAGGUCUCUGGGCAUUAACUGACGCUGAGGAGCGAAAGCAUGGGGAGCGAACAGGAUUAGAUACCCUGGUAGUCCAUGCCGUAAACGUUGGGCACUAGGUGUGGGGGGACAUUCCACGUUUUCCGCGCCGUAGCUAACGCAUUAAGUGCCCCGCCUGGGGAGUACGGCCGCAAGGCUAAAACUCAAAGGAAUUGACGGGGGCCCGCACAAGCGGCGGAGCAUGCGGAUUAAUUCGAUGCAACGCGAAGAACCUUACCAAGGCUUGACAUGAACCGGAAAUACCUGGAAACAGGUGCCCCGCUUGCGGUCGGUUUACAGGUGGUGCAUGGUUGUCGUCAGCUCGUGUCGUGAGAUGUUGGGUUAAGUCCCGCAACGAGCGCAACCCUCGUUCUAUGUUGCCAGCGCGUUAUGGCGGGGACUCAUAGGAGACUGCCGGGGUCAACUCGGAGGAAGGUGGGGACGACGUCAAAUCAUCAUGCCCCUUAUGUCUUGGGCUUCACGCAUGCUACAAUGGCCGGUACAAAGGGUUGCGAUACUGUGAGGUGGAGCUAAUCCCAAAAAGCCGGUCUCAGUUCGGAUUGGGGUCUGCAACUCGACCCCAUGAAGUCGGAGUCGCUAGUAAUCGCAGAUCAGCAACGCUGCGGUGAAUACGUUCCCGGGCCUUGUACACACCGCCCGUCAAGUCACGAAAGUUGGUAACACCCGAAGCCGGUGGCCUAACCCCUUGUGGGAGG
rnacentral:rRNA from 1 species